AUUGAACGCUGGCGGCGUGCUUAACACAUGCAAGUCGAGCGGUAACAGGCCCGCAAGGGUGCUGACGAGCGGCGGACGGGUGAGCAAUACAUAGGAAUCUACCUCAGAGCGGGGGAUAGCCCGGGGAAACCCGGAUUAAUACCGCAUGAUGUCGAAAGACCAAAGUGGGGGACCGUAAGGCCUCACACUCCGAGAUGAGCCUAUGUCGGAUUAGCUAGUUGGCGGGGUAACGCCCACAGCAACGAUCCGUAGCUGGUCUGAGGGGACGAUCAGCCACACCGGAACUGAGACACGGUCCGGACUCC
rnacentral:rRNA from 1 species